rnacentral:rRNA from 1 species
GGAGACUGCCGGUGAUAAACCGGAGGAAGUGGGGAUGACGUCAAGUCAUCAUGGCCCUUACGAGUAGGGCUACACACGUGCUACAAUGGCAUAUACAAAGAGAAGCGAACUCGCGAGAGCAAGCGGACCUCAUAAAGUAUGUCGUAGUCCGGAUUGGAGUCUGCAACUCGACUCCAUGAAGUCGGAAUCGCUAGUAAUCGUAGAUCAGAAUGCUACGGUGAAUACGUUCCCGGGCCUU